rnacentral:lncRNA from 1 species
GAAAUGGACAUGCAGCUUAUGGUAUUGAUUGUUUAGAAGAAGAAGAUGAACCUGCUUCAGAAAUUGAACAAGAUAAUGAUCAUGAUCCUUCAAACUGACAAAUUGUUCGCACGGAAUAUUUUGUGCAUUCGACUGUCCUUUUUCUUUUUCUUGAAAGUGGAGUGAAAGCCGGCAGAUAAUGAUCAUGAUCCUUCAACCUGACAAAACGUUUGCGUGUGAUGUUUUGUGCAUCCGGCUGUCCUUUUUCUUUUUUCUUGAUAUGAAAGUGAAAGUCGGUCCAAGAUCCAAAGACGUUUAAGUCUAGUUUUAGUCAGGAUAUAAAAGACAAGUUCAAUCAUCGAAAGUAAUUGAGGGGUUUGGAAAAUUAGG